rnacentral:rRNA from 1 species
GCCUGGCCCUAAAUCUAGAUGCUUAUGCUACCAAAGCAUCCGCCCGAGGACUACGAGCACAAACGCUUAAAACUCUAAGGACUUGGCGGUGCCCCAAACCCACCUAGAGGAGCCUGUUCUAUAAUCGAUAACCCACGAUGCACCCGACCACUUCUUGCCAAACACAGCCUACAUACCGCCGUCGCCAGCUCACCUCUCCUGAAAGCACAACAGUGAGCACAAUAGCCCCAACCUCGCUAACAAGACAGGUCAAGGUAUAGCUCAUGAAGUGGAAGAAAUGGGCUACAUUUUCUAACCUAGAACAUCCCACGGAAGGGGGCAUGAAACAGCCCCCAGAAGGCGGAUUUAGCAGUAAAGCGGGAUAACAAAGCCCUCUUUAAACUGGCCCUGAGGCAC